rnacentral:lncRNA from 1 species
AGCACCCGUUCUUAGCCUCCGCCGGCGUCGGCGUCUACGCGAAGCCCCAAGCCGCGGAGAGCAAAUGGGUGUCGCCGAAGAGCACGCUGGACGCGGCAUUCUGGGAGACGGAGUCGGACACCGAGGAGGCUGAGCACGAGCACAGCAGGCAUUCUGGUAGUUCAGUCGGGCACAGCAGGCAUCAGCUUUUGCAGAAUUUAGCAUCAUACGAAUUGUUAUCAUCAUGUAAUAAAAUGUUGUUUUCCAGCAGAAUCA